rnacentral:lncRNA from 1 species
GGUUCUCUCCGGGAGGUGGCGCAGCCCCGUUGCUCUUUCAACGGAGUAAGUUCGCAGAGCUCUGGCACGGACAGUCUGGCGGCCAACUGCUCUUCGCUUUCUAGUGUCUGGGCUGGAGGGUCCUUGAGCUGGGUUCCACAGAAGGGAUUGAUCGUACGGGCGGGUAAGGUCUCCACGUGGCGCUGAUCCAAAGAUUGUGCGCCGCGCGGGCGUGGGAAGAUCCGAGCUGCCCCUGAAGGUGACAUUUCAUACUGGGCUUUACCCCGGGAUUGAGGAGCCCCGAGCCCGCAGUGAGCAACCAAUCGAGUAGAACCCACGCGUCUGGGCUGGGGAAAAGGAGGCAGCGAGUGCCCAGAAGUUGGGUAGCACAGGAGAUCCAUAGACCUUAGUUCUGUAUCCCAGGUUUCCGCCUUACAGAUCUAUGCCAGGUCCUGCGCUUAAGCUUUACAGGCAUCAUCGUCGCAAGUAUUAUGUUUCCUCAUUUAUAGAGAAGGAGACAAGCUCAGAGCCACGAAGCCACCAGCCACAGUCAACAAUGUGCCGAAGGGACAAAGCAUAGAUUGGGACCCAGGUCUGUCUGUCCCCAAAGCCUGUACUCUUGGCCCCAGGGAAACACUGCUACCCUUCACACCAGCUACAAUUUUUGUUAAGUAAACCUUUUAUUGAAGUUAAAUAAAGAGAAGAGCACAAAUCAUUACAGCUCGACAAAAUUACACAAAGUGAACAUGCCCAUACAACCUGAAUCCAGAUCGCAAAACCAAACAGUAGAAGCCUCAUGUGCUCCCCUUUCCCCCAUCCCUUCUUCUCCCCCCUCCACUCCCCGCCCCGAGACGGAGUCUCACUCUGUUGCCCAGGCUAAUAUUUGUAUUUUUAGUAGAGACAGGGUUUCACCAUGUUGGCCAGGCCGGUCACAAACUCCUGACCUCAAGUGAUCUGCCUGCCUUGGCCUCCCAAAGUGCUGGGAUUAUAGGCGUGAGCCACCACAUCCGGCCUCCCGAUCCCUUCUAAAGGUUAUCAUUCAUCUGUUUUUUUCUUUUUUUUUUAAGAGCUAGAGUCUCUGUCGCCCAGGCUGGAGUGCAGUGGCACGAUCAUAGCUCACUAGAGUCUCCAACUGCUGGCCUCAAGCUAUCCUCUCUCCUCAGCCUCUGAAAGCACUGGGAUUACAGGCAUGACCCACCCCAUGUAGCCUUUAAAAAUAUAUCUUUUGAAAGAGAUUCUUGCUCUGUUGCCCAGGCUGGAGUGCAGUGGUGAGAUCACUACUCACUCCAGGUUCAACCUCCCAGACUCAAGCAAUCCUAUACCUCAGCUUCCCAAGCACCUGGAACUACAGGCGUGUGCCACCACGCCUUGCUAAUUUUAAAAUGUUUUUUGUAGAGAUAGGGUUUCGCUGUGUUGCCCAGGCUGGUCACGAACUCCUGGACUCAGAUGAUCCUCCCACUUCAGCCUUCCAAAGUGCUGGGAUUACAGACAUGAGCCACUGUGCCUGGCUGGACUCGCCCUGACUUGUAACAGCUGGGUUACUUUUGUUUGUUUUGAAUUCUCCUUCUCUCUAGACCAGUACUCUGUGUACUGUGUUUGGUUUCUUUUAGUUAAUGUUGUUUUUGUGAGAUUCAUGCAUACCGUGUGUAGAAAUAGUUCUUUCAUUUUCAUUCUGGAUGGUUUCCAUUUUAUGACUAUGCCCUAUACCUCAGACUGGAUAUUUUCCAGUUUAGGGGUGUUAUAGUGCUAUUGUUACUGGGGGUCCUUGUUCUUAGAGCUCCCAAGAUGGUGGUGGGCCGCUUCCAAGAUGGCAGUAAGUCUCUUGUUCUCUGACCUGGGGUUCUUGGCCUCACGGAUUCCAAGGAAUGGAAUCUUGGGCCAUGCGGUGAGUGUUAUAGCUCUAUUCAGCUCGAUUAGGAGGAACCCCGGGCACUUAGCCCGCGCAAGAACAAUGGUGAGCCUCUAGCCCAAUUGGGAGCGGCAAUGGGUGCCGCCUCGCUGGAUCAGAAGUGCAGUGGACACCCGGAUCCGGAGGGGUGGAAGUCAGCGGCAGGUCUGCCACAGCUGCCAUGGCAGCAGACAGCAGCGGUGGACAGUGAGCGAAAGCUCAGCUCAAGCCAUAACAAACACAGACCAGAAGAGUGUACAGUUGCAAGGUUUAAUAGAGUGAAAACAGAGCUCCCAUAAAAUGGGAGGAGACCCAAAGGGGAUUGCCUUGCGGGCUCCAGUGCUGGGUUAUAUCCCGCCGAUCAUUGUCCCUCUCUCUGUGCUCUCAGGCGUUAGAUGAUUGGCUAUUUCUUUACCUUCUGUUUUUGCCUAAUUCGCAUUUUAGUGAGCUCUCUUUACUACCUGAUUGGUUGGGUGUGACCUAAGUGGCAAGCCCCUUGUUUAAAGGUGGAUGCGGUCACCUUCCCAGUUGGCUUAGGGAUUCUUAGUCGGCCUAGGAAAUCCAGCUAGUCCUGUCUCUCACUAUGAAUAUUCUAGUACAUUUCUUUGGACAAACUUACGUAUUCAUUUCUUCUGAAAAUAGAUCCCCCUCCCAAAGAAAAACAAAAACAAAAACAAAAUAGACCCAAGUGUGGAAUUGCUGGUCGUAGGGCAGGUAUGUGUUUAGCUUUAGUAGACACUGUCAGACUGUAUUAAUUUACACUCCCACCAUUUGUAUGUAUACUCUUGAUAUUUUGUGUGUUUGGACAUUGUUUUCUAUUUGGUGGAUGGAUCAUGGGUUGUCACACGAGACACCACUUGCGCAUUCACUUUUGGCCAGGAAAAUUCCAAACCAUGAUCUCAUAACAGCCCUCAGAGGUAGGUUUGCUUUUCCUCAUUUUACAAAUGAAACUGAGGUGCAGACAGGGGAAAGCCACUUCCAUUAAGUUACAAAGAGAAUUGGUGGCUCCUGCUCAGUGGAGAUCACUGAGUAGGGAGGAUCACUCUGCUGGGAGAACCCAGAGAUUCAUUAGAUCUGGCUCCUGCCUUUCUUAAAGUCCUAGUGUC